rnacentral:rRNA from 1 species
CCUACGGGAGACAGCAGUGAGGAAUAUUGGGCAAUGGACGAGAGUCUGAACCAGCCAAGUCGCGUGAGGGAUGACUGCCCUAUGGGUUGUAACCUCUUUUUAUAAAGGAGUACAACGAGGCACGUAUGCCUUUUUGCAUGUACUUUAUGAAUAAGGAUCGGCUAACUCCGUGCCAGCAGCCGCGGUAAUACGGAGGGUCCGAGCGUUAUCCGGAUUGAUUGGGUUUAAAGGGAGCGUAGAUGGGUUGUUAAGUCAGUUGUGAAAGUUCGCGGCUCAACCGUAAAAUUGCAAUUGAUACUGGCAGUCUUGAGUACAGUUGAGGUAGGCGGAAUUCGUGGUGUAGCGGUGAAAUGCUUAGAUAUCACGAAGAACCCCGAUUGCGAAGGCAGCUUACUAAACUGUGACUGACAUUGAGGCUCGAAAGUGUGGGUAUCAAACAGGAUUAGAUACCCCGGUAGUC